GAACUCUGGAGAAUCCCUGUGCGGUCCGCCGCCGGGGUGCCGAAGGUGCAAGGCCGCAAGGCCGAAUCUCUCAGGCAAAAGGACAGAGCGU
rnacentral:ncRNA from 1 species